rnacentral:rRNA from 1 species
UACGGAGGGGGCAAGCGUUGUUCGGAAUCACUGGGCGUAAAGGGCGUGUAGGCGGCCUGUUAAGUCUGAUGUGAAAUCCCCUCGCUCAACGAGGGAACUGCGUCGGAAACUGGCAGGCUCGAGUACCGGAGAGGAAGGUGGAAUUCCCGGUGUAGCGGUGAAAUGCGUUGAUAUCGGAAGGAACGCCGGCGGCGAAAGCGAUGCACUGGUUGGUCUCUGACGCUGAGGUGCGAAAGCCAGGGGAGCAAACGGG